rnacentral:lncRNA from 1 species
ACGAAUUCUCACCUUAUAGUACUCAGUAUAAGGUAUACAUUCGCUUCUUAUUGGCUCCCUGUCUUUCAGUACUUGUUUUAUUGGUUUAACAUGUUUCUUUUUGCAGCUUACACAUUAUACAUACUUCACCAAUGAACAGCUCUACAUUUUACCAGGAUGUUGUCGACUGUCACCAGCGACCCAUUGUCUAUCGUCGAACUGAUCACAGUUAUUAUUCUCUUAUUUUUUUAAUUGAGGAAGUGAGCUGGCUUGUCUGGAUGUAAAAUAAGAAAUAC